CCAGCACCACUGGCCCCUGAGUCAGGCAGGGAUCCUCUCAGAGAAGGGAAGCUGCCAGCUACUCAUUGUCCUCUGAUGGCCAGCCCCCAUCUCCUUUGCCCUCCAGGUUUCCACCUACAGCCUCCAGCAAGCUCCUGCUGGCCCAGCCUGGGCUGGCCUUUGUCUGGGCAGCGCCUGCUUCUCCCUGGCUCCCAGACACACUGACACUGCCUCAAGUUGUUUCAGAGUAGUUAUUAUAACCAGGCCCCUAGCAGUGAGAUAGAGGUCAACCUCAGACUGGGAGCUAGGAAGCUGCUGCGUUCAGCCUACAGCCAUCUGACUCUACCGAGCACCUUCCUUUCCUAGGCCUCAAUUCUACAUGCGCCAAAUAAGGGGGUGCACUGGGACCCUUACAACUUUCCUGUUCUAGGAUGUUGGGCCAGUGCCAUAGCCAACUAUGGCCGGGAGUCCUCCUCUCCCACUGUCAUCUCUUCAGGACACUGCUGAUGACCCCAGACACCAACUGCAGCACCGGUGACAAUUGGAGGGACCCAUCUACCCCAGGCCCACACGGCGCGCCUGCCUUGACCAGCCGGCAAGCCCAGACCUGGAUCGGCUGGGAGCAAGCCCAGUCAGGAGAGAGAGGCGGCAAGUCUGGCCUGGAACACCUAGGAUCCUGGAGCAGGGGAGCCCGCCUGCUGGGGCAGCCCCUGGGAGCCCUCAGAAAACAGGAAAUUCCAGCCCAGAGCUCCUCCUAGGACUGGGCAGAGCCAGGACCAGGAGGACUCAUUGGGAGUCAAACUAGGAGUGAGGACGCAAGCCUUAAGCCAUCUCUGGGCCUCAGUCUCUUCAUUUGCAAAAUGAGGAGCUUGAGCAAGGCAAUCCUGUCUCAAUUUCCGGCUAGACAUUCUGAGCUGGAGAGCUGUUGGAUGCUGAAGCCAGCUGCUAUUAAUGAUGGAGCUGUCCUUCUCUCUGAAGAUUAUAAACUCCAAAAGAUACUCAUCUGUCUGGACUAAGUAUCCGCCUGCCUAAGGGCAGCAGAAAAAUCAAAAGAUAACUUCCAGGCCCAGACCACGAGUGACUCACUUCUGAGCCUUCAGUGACCAUUCCCUGGCUGCUCACUGGGUCUCACCCACUGUCGAGAUGAUGGCAGUAAGAGAGCUUCCAGUAUUGGCCGGCACCUGGCGCUCUGUAAAUGGAAACACCCCUAACUCUGAUACACUUUUAGUUUCAUGAGAGUAGGCUAUACCCAGAAAACCUGGGGUCCACCCCAAAACAGAGCAAGAGCUGUGCACGGUCAACAUCACUCCUUUCCAAGGUCGUUGAGAGAGCCAGCAUACCGCAAUCCACAGAGUACGACCAGAGGCCCGGGAGCAGAUCAGGAGAAACCAGUUUCGGUAGUGGCAAGGGGUGAGGGGUCUGAGCUUCCUUGGAAAAGAUUUCACUCCCAGGACUCCUCCACCCCAAUCCAACCCCACUUCCAGUGUCCCCUCCAGCAUCCCAAUGUCCCUUUCAGCUUUAGAACUCCCUGGUCUGAGCUAGAAGAGAUGAAAGCUACGCAUUCCCGUGGGGGCUGGGGCUGGGGGCAGGCCUGGGAAGGCAGGGCCUCUCUGUCCUAGGUGCUCUGGCAGAAAGGAGGCUGGAAACUCCCAAGUCCUGGGCUGGAUCUCUGGGGCACUUCUUAUCUUUGUGGGUCUAGUUAUUACAGUUGAGGAAGGCUGCUUCUCUGCAGGAAGCACAUUCCCCCAUAUAUCCUACACCAUUCCACAGAGGAGCCUUUCCCAAGAUCCUCAGGCAGGCACAAAACCAAGAACAGCACCCAGUGCUCACGUUUAAGUCUGUCAACCUUUCUGAGCUUCAGAUUAAAAGGACAAGGUAGUUUUUCUGCCUA